AUGUUCCUGAUCCUCUGUGUCCCGCUGGUCUCUGUGUCCCACUGGUCUCUGUGUCCCACUGGUCUCUGUGUCUCGCUGGUCUCUGUGUCUCGCUGGUUUCUGUGUCCCGCUGGUCUCUGUGCCCCGCUGGUCUCUGUGUCUCGCUGGUCUCUGUGUCCCGCUGGUCUCUGUGUCUCGCUGGUCUCUGUGUCCCGCUGGUCUCUGUGUUCUGCUGGUCUCUGUGUCUCGCUGGUCUCUGUGUUCUGCUGGUCUCUGUGUCUCACUGGUCUCUGUGUCCCGCUGGUCUCUGUGCCCCGCUGGUCUCUGUGUUCUGCUGGUCUCUGUGUCCCGCUGGUCUCUGUGUCUCACUGGUCUCUGUGUCUCGCUGGUCUCUGUGUCUCGCUGGUCUCUGUGUCCUGUUGGUCUCUGUGUCUCGCUGGUCUCUGUGUCUCGCUGGUCUCUGUGCCCCGCUGGUCUCUGUGUCCCAUUGGUCUCUGUGUCUCGCUGGUCUCUGUGUCUCGCUGGUCUCUGUGUCCCGCUGGUCUCUGUGCCCUGCUGGUCUCUGUGUCUCACUGGUCUCUGUGUCUCGCUGGUCUCUGUACCCCGCUGGUCUCUGUGUCCCGCUGGUCUCUGUCUCUCGCUGGUCUCUGUGUCCCAUUGGUCUCUGUGUCUCGCUGGUCUCUGUGUCUCGCUGGUCUCUCUGGCCCGCUGGUCUCUGUGUCCUGCUGGUCUCUGUGUCUCUGUGUCACGCUGGUGUCUCUGUCCCACUGGUCUCUGUGUCCCGCUGGUCUAUGUGUCCUGCUGGUCUCUGUGUCCUGCUGGUCUCUGUGUCUCGCUGGUCUCUGUGUCUCGCUGGUCUCUGUGUCUCGCUGGUCUCUAUGUCCCGUUGUUCUCUGUGUCCCGCUGGUCUCUGUGUCUCGCUGGUCUCUGUGCCCCGCUGGUCUCUGUGCCCCGCUGGUCUCUGUGCCCCGCUGGUCUCUGUGUCCCGUUGGUCUCUGUGUCCCGCUGGUCUCUGUGUCCCGCUGGUCUCUGUGUCUCGCUGGUCUCUGUGUCUCGCUGGUCUCUGUGUCCCGCUGGUCUCUGUGCCCCGCUGGUCUCUGUGUUCUGCUGGUCUCUGUGUCCCGUUGGUCUCUGUGUCUCGCUGGUCUCUGUGUCCCGCUGGUCUCUGUGCCCCGCUGGUCUCUGUGUCCCGUUGGUCUCUGUGUCUCGCUGGUCUCUGUACCCCGCUGGUCUCUGUGUCUCGUUGGUCUCUGUGUCUCGCUGGUCUCUGUGCCCCGCUGGUCUCUGUGUCCCGUUGGUCUCUGUGUCUCGCUGGUCUCUGUGUCUCGCUGGUCUCUGUGUCUCGCUGGUCUCUGUGUCCCACUGGUCUCUGUGUCCCAUUGGUCUCUGUGUCUCGCUGGUCUGUGUCUCGCUGGUCUCUGUGCCCUGCUGGUCUCUGUGUCUCGCUGGUCUCUGUGUCUCGCUGGUCUCUGUGUCUCGCUGGUCUCUGUGUCCCGCUGGUCUCUGUGCCCCGCUGGUCUCUGUGUUCUGCUGGUCUCUGUGUCCCGUUGGUCUCUGUGUCUCGCUGGUCUCUGUGUCCCGCUGGUCUCUGUGCCCCGCUGGUCUCUGUGUCCCGUUGGUCUCUGUGUCUCGCUGGUCUCUGUACCCCGCUGGUCUCUGUGUCCCGUUGGUCUCUGUGUCUCGCUGGUCUCUGUGUCCCGCUGGUCUCUGUGCCCCGCUGGUCUCUGUGUCCCGUUGGUCUCUGUGUCUCGCUGGUCUCUGUGCCCUGCUGGUCUCUGUGUCUCGCUGGUCUCUGUGUCUCGCUGGUCUCUGUGUCUCGCUGGUCUCUGUACCCCGCUGGUCUCUGUGUCCCGUUAG
ensembl:lncRNA